rnacentral:misc_RNA from 1 species
GCAGCACUCAAAUUUAAAUCGUCAAGAAGAAUUGCUUGAAAGAAAAAGGCCACACGCCCAUAGUUACAACUUCAGAUGAAUAUGUGAAAAAAUAACAAAAAAAAAACACUCGAUUUGAAUACCAUGUUCAAACUAUAUACGAAACUAGCUAUCCAGAAACUCAAUUCAAUUAUCUAUUGUUUGGACAUUACAAUCCAACGACCAGCAGUAGGGUCACAGUCUUAAAAUAAAGUGGAAGCCUAAAAUUCAGGAUUCGAAUUAUGGCACUCACUACUGCGGGCUCAUGGAAUCACCUCAACCACCUCCUGAGG